GGUUGUGGCUCAGCGGUAGAGCGCUUGCCUAGCACGUUCGAGGCCCUGGGUUCAAUCUCAGCACCA
rnacentral:tRNA from 1 species